rnacentral:rRNA from 1 species
UACGUAGGGUGCAAGCGUUAUCCGGAAUUAUUGGGCGUAAAGAGCUCGUAGGCGGUUUGUCGCGUCUGCUGUGAAAACUGGAGGCUCAACCUCCAGCCUGCAGUGGGUACGGGCAGACUAGAGUGCGGUAGGGGAGAUUGGAAUUCCUGGUGUAGCGGUGGAAUGCGCAGAUAUCAGGAGGAACACCGAUGGCGAAGGCAGAUCUCUGGGCAUUAACUGACGCUGAGGAGCGAAAGCAUGGGGAGCGAACAGG